UACGUAGGGCGCAAGCGUUGUCCGGAAUUAUUGGGCGUAAAGAGCUCGUAGGCGGCCUGUCGCGUCCGCUGUGAAAUCCCGGGGCUUAACCCCGGGCGUGCAGUGGAUACGGGCUGGCUAGAGGCAGGCAGGGGAGAACGGAAUUCCCGGUGUAGCGGUGAAAUGCGCAGAUAUCGGGAGGAACACCGGUGGCGAAGGCGGUUCUCUGGGCCUGUUCUGACGCUGAGGAGCGAAAGCGUGGGGAGCAAACAGGAUUAGAUACCCUGGUAGUCCACGCCGUAAACGUUGGGCGCUAGGUGUGGGUCCCUUCCACGGGGUCUGCGCCGCAGCUAACGCAUUAAGCGCCCCGCCUGGGGAGUACGGCCGCAAGGCUAAA
rnacentral:rRNA from 1 species